rnacentral:rRNA from 1 species
AUUGAACGCUGGCGGCAGGCCUAACACAUGCAAGUCGAACGAGUGGCGGACGGGUGAGUAAUGUCUGGGAACCUACCCAUCAGAGGGGGAUAACACUUGGAAACAGGUGCUAAUACCGCAUACUAUCAGAUGAGCCUAGGUCGGAUUAGCUAGUUGGUGGGGUAAAGGCCUACCAAGGCGACGAUCCGUACCGGGUCUGAGAGGAUGAUCAGUCACACUGGAACUGAGACACGGUCCAGACUCCUACGGGAGGCAGCAGUGGGGAAUAUUGGACAAUGGGCGAAAGCCUGAUGCAGCCAUGCCGCGUGUAUGAAGAAGGCCUUCGGGUUGUAAAGUACUUUCAGCGGGGAGGCGUUACCCGCAGAAGAAGCACCGGCUAACUCCGUGCCAGCAGCCGCGGUAAUAC